AUUGAACGCUGGCGGCAGGCCUAACACAUGCAAGUCGAGCGGAUGAAGGGAGCUUGCUCCUGGAUUCAGCGGCGGACGGGUGAGUAAUGCCUAGGAAUCUGCCUGGUAGUGGGGGAUAACGUCCGGAAACGGGCGCUAAUACCGCAUACGUCCUGAGGGAGAAAGUGGGGGAUCUUCGGACCUCACGCUAUCAGAUGAGCCUAGGUCGGAUUAGCUAGUUGCUGGGGUAAAGGCCUACCAAGGCGACGAUCCGUAACUGGUCUGAGAGGAUGAUCAGUCACACUGGAACUGAGACACGGUCCAGACUCCUACGGAAGGCAGCGGUGGGAAAUAUUGGACAAUGGGCGAAGGCCUAAUCCAGCCAGGCCGCGUGUGUGAAGAAGGUCUUCGGAUGGUAAAGCACUUUAAGUUGGGAGGAAGAGCAGUAAGUUAAUACCGUGCUGUUUUGACGUUACCAGCAGAAUAAGCACCGGCUAACUGCGU
rnacentral:rRNA from 1 species